AACCAUAGAAACCUGCGGAGUACCUGCGGAAGGAUCAUUAAAAAGAGUGUGUACCCCUCUGUAAAAUGAGUGGGUUACCUCCCGUCCUUUGUUGACCUCUUAGGAGGUUAUUUUGAACUUUCUGCUUCGGUGGGGUUAAACCUACCGGAACACCCUCAAAUUCUUAUCAUUUAAAAAUUGUUCAGUCUGAUUUUUGUUAAUAAAAACAAAAAACUUUUAGCAACGGAUCUCAGAUCGGAA
rnacentral:misc_RNA from 1 species